rnacentral:misc_RNA from 1 species
GAUGAAGAACGUAGCGAAAUGCGAUAACUAAUGUGAAUUGCAGAAUUCAGUGAAUCAUCGAGUCUUUGAACGCACAUUGCGCCCCCUGGUAUUCCGGGGGGCAUGCCUGUCCGAGCGUCAUUGCUGCCCUCAAGCACGGCUUGUGUGUUGGGCUCCGUCCCCCCGGGGACGGGCCCGAAAGGCAGCGGCGGCACCGAGUCAGGUCCUCGAGCGUAUGGGGCUUUGUCACCCGCUCUGUAGGCCCGGCCGGCGCCAGCCGACAACCCAUCAUCCUUUUCAGGUUGACCUCGGAUCAGGUAGGGAUACCCGCUGAACUUAAGCAUAUCAAUAAGCGGAGGA